GUCCAGACUCCUACGGGAGGCAGCAGUGGGGGAUAUUGCACAAUGGGGGAAACCCUGAUGCAGCGACGCCGCGUGGGCGAAGAAGUCUUUCGGUAUGUAAAGCCCUAUCAGCAGGGAAGAAGAAAUGACGGUACCUGACUAAGAAGCCCCGGCUAACUACGUGCCAGCAGCCGCGGUAAUACGUAGGGGGCAAGCGUUAUCCGGAUUUACUGGGUGUAAAGGGGGCGCAGACGGCAGCGCAAGCCAGGAGUGAAAGCCCGGGGCCCAACCCCGGGACUGCUCUUGGAACUGCGCGGCUGGAGUGCAGGAGGGGCAGGCGGAAUUCCUGGUGUAGCGGUGAAAUGCGUAGAUAUCAGGAGGAACACCGGUGGCGAAGGCGGCCUGCUGGACUGCGACUGACGUUGAGGCCCGAAAGCGUGGGGAGCAAACAGGAUUAGAUACCCCGGUAC
rnacentral:rRNA from 1 species